AGAACGAACGCUGGCGGCAGGCCUAAUACAUGCAAGUCGAACGCACUCUUCGGAGUGAGUGGCAGACGGGUGAGUAACGCGUGGGAACCUUCCCAAUGGUACGGAAUAACUCCGGGAAACCGGUGCUAAUACCGUAUAAGCCCCUCGGGGGAAAGAUUUAUCGCCAUUGGAUGGGCCCGCGUCGGAUUAGCUAGUUGGUGAGGUAAUGGCUCACCAAGGCUACGAUCCGUAGCUGGUCUGAGAGGAUGAUCAGCCACACUGGGACUGAGACACGGCCCAGACUCCUACGGGAGGCAGCAGUAGGGAAUCUUGGACAAUGGGCGAAAGCCUGAUCCAGCCAUGCCGCGUGAGUGAAGAAGGCCUUAGGGUGUAAAGCUCUUUGGCGGGACGAUAAGUGACGGUACCCGCAGAAUAAGCCCGCUAACUCGUGCCAGCAGCCGC
rnacentral:rRNA from 1 species